GGGGAUAUAGCUCAGUGACAGAACAUGUGCCUAGCAUUCACAAGGCCCUGGGUUCAAAUCUCCAGUACUGCCA
rnacentral:tRNA from 1 species